GGGGGUUUAGCUCAGUUGGUAGAGCGCCUGCUUUGCAAGCAGGAAGCCAGCGGUUCAAAUCCGCUAACCUCCA
rfam:Candidatus Synechococcus spongiarum 142 NODE_187, whole genome shotgun sequence.